rnacentral:rRNA from 1 species
UACGGAGGGUGCGAACGUUAAUCGGAAUCACUGGGCUUAAAGCGUGUGUAGGCGGAUCGUUAAGUGUCUUGUGAAAUCCCACGGCUCACCCGUGGAACUGCUGGGCAUACUGGGCGUCUUGGGCCAACUAGGGGCAGCCGGAACAAGCGGUGGAGCGGUGAAAUGCGUAGAUAUCGCUUGGAACGCCGAAGGUGAAAAACAGGCUGCUGGGGUUGUGCCGACGCUGAGACACGAAAGCCAGGGGAGCAAACGGG